CUGCUCCGCUCCGCGAGCUGUGCGCACGCGGGGAGCAUGGAGGCCGGCGUGAGGGCGUGGGGAAUUGAGGCGUCAUGGUCCGAGAUAUAUACAUGUCUCUCUCUUUGCUAGGCAUCUUAUUAGAUUAUUCUUAGCUCUAUUAUUAUCAGCACUCCGACCCUGGAAUGUUGCUUUCCCCUCCCUCUCCUGCUUGUUUUUGUUCCAAUUUUCCCGGUCUUCUUUGGUAUUAAGAGGCUGUAAGUGACGCAUUCUUGGCGUGGAGCUAGUGAUGCUAGACAUCAGUCCCAACAGCCUGCUUGAGCAGCUAGCUUUGUUAGUAUGUGAGGAGUUGGAGGUAGUCUAAAAGUCUUAAGCCUGGAAUGCAUCAGUUACACUUUUGUAAUUCAUGCAUGUAAUGUCUCUGUUUUUAUCCUUGCUGUAUUCUACUAAAGUUCUCCUACUUCUCUUAUAUAUCUACUACU
rnacentral:lncRNA from 1 species